GUGCUUAACACAUGCAAGUCGAACGGUGAACCAGGUGCUUGCACUUGGGGAUCAGUGGCGAACGGGUGAGUAACACGUGAGCAACCUGCCCCUGACUCUGGGAUAAGCGCUGGAAACGGCGUCUAAUACUGGAUACGAGACGUGAUCGCAUGGUCAAUGUCUGGAAAGAUUUUUCGGUUGGGGAUGGGCUCGCGCCUAUCAGCUUGUUGGUGAGGUAAUGGCUCACCAAGGCGUCGACGGGUAGCCGGCCUGAGAGGGUGACCGGCCACACUUGGGACUGAGACACGGCCCAGACUCCUACGGGAGGCAGCAGUGGGGAAUAUUGCACAAUGGGCGGAAGCCUGAUGCAGCAACGCCGCGUGAGGGACGACGGCCUUCGGGUUGUAACCUCUUUUAGCAGGGAAGAAGCGAAAGUGACGGUACCUGCAGAAAAAGCGCCGGCUACUACUUC
rnacentral:rRNA from 1 species